UCCCUGGCAGCUUAGACGUAAAGCGUCUGUCUACAAUGCGGAAGACCCGGGUUCGAUCCCUGGGUUGGGAA
rnacentral:tRNA from 1 species